rnacentral:tRNA from 1 species
UGCGGAUUAGAGCAGUGGCAGCUCGCAAGGCUCAUAACCUUGAGGUCGUAGGUUCGAUUCCUACAUCCGCUA